rnacentral:rRNA from 1 species
AUAGCGUAUAUUAAAGUUGUUGCAGUUAAAAAGCUCGUAGUUGGAUUUCAAGGAAAGCACUAUGGAAACAUAGCUGCCUCCUAUCAGUCUUUGACUGUUACUGUGAGAAAAUUAGAGUGUUUCAAGCAGGCUGUUGCCGGAAUACAUUAGCAUGGAAUAACGAAUGUGUCUAGAAUCUUGGUUAAUUCUAGAAUACGAUUAAUAGGGACAGUUGGGGGCAUUAGUAUUUAAUUGUCAGAGGUGAAAUUCUUGGAUUUGUUAAAGACUAACGUAUG